GGGUUGUGAGGUUAAGCGACUAAGCGUACACGGUGGAUGCCCUGGCAGUCAGAGGCGAUGAAGGACGUGCUAAUCUGCGAUAAGCGUCGGUAAGGUGAUAUGAACCGUUAUAACCGGCGAUUUCCGAAUGGGGAAACCCAGUGUGAUUCGUCACACUAUCAUUAACUGAAUCCAUAGGUUAAUGAGGCGAACCGGGGGAACUGAAACAUCUAAGUACCCCGAGGAAAAGAAAUCAACCGAGAUUCCCCCAGUAGCGGCGAGCGAACGGGGAGCAGCCCAGAGCCUGAAUCAGUGUGUGUGUUAGUGGAAGCGUCUGGAAAGGCGUGCGAUACAGGGUGACAGCCCCGUACACAAAAAUGCACAUAUUGUGAGCUCGAUGAGUAGGGCGGGACACGUGGUAUCCUGUCUGAAUAUGGGGGGACCAUCCUCCAAGGCUAAAUACUCCUGACUGACCGAUAGUGAACCAGUACCGUGAGGGAAAGGCGAAAAGAACCCCGGCGAGGGGAGUGAAAAAGAACCUGAAACCGUGUACGUACAAGCAGUGGGAGCACGCUUAGGCGUGUGACUGCGUACCUUUUGUAUAAUGGGUCAGCGACUUAUAUUCUGUAGCAAGGUUAACCGAAUAGGGGAGCCGAAGGGAAACCGAGUCUUAACUGGGCGUUAAGUUGCAGGGUAUAGACCCGAAACCCGGUGAUCUAGCCAUGGGCAGGUUGAAGGUUGGGUAACACUAACUGGAGGACCGAACCGACUAAUGUUGAAAAAUUAGCGGAUGACUUGUGGCUGGGGGUGAAAGGCCAAUCAAACCGGGAGAUAGCUGGUUCUCCCCGAAAGCUAUUUAGGUAGCGCCUCGUGAAUUCAUCUCCGGGGGUAGAGCACUGUUUCGGCAAGGGGGUCAUCCCGACUUACCAACCCGAUGCAAACUGCGAAUACCGGAGAAUGUUAUCACGGGAGACACACGGCGGGUGCUAACGUCCGUCGUGAAGAGGGAAACAACCCAGACCGCCAGCUAAGGUCCCAAAGUCAUGGUUAAGUGGGAAACGAUGUGGGAAGGCCCAGACAGCCAGGAUGUUGGCUUAGAAGCAGCCAUCAUUUAAAGAAAGCGUAAUAGCUCACUGGUCGAGUCGGCCUGCGCGGAAGAUGUAACGGGGCUAAACCAUGCACCGAAGCUGCGGCAGCGACGCUUAUGCGUUGUUGGGUAGGGGAGCGUUCUGUAAGCCUGCGAAGGUGUGCUGUGAGGCAUGCUGGAGGUAUCAGAAGUGCGAAUGCUGACAUAAGUAACGAUAAAGCGGGUGAAAAGCCCGCUCGCCGGAAGACCAAGGGUUCCUGUCCAACGUUAAUCGGGGCAGGGUGAGUCGACCCCUAAGGCGAGGCCGAAAGGCGUAGUCGAUGGGAAACAGGUUAAUAUUCCUGUACUUGGUGUUACUGCGAAGGGGGGACGGAGAAGGCUAUGUUGGCCGGGCGACGGUUGUCCCGGUUUAAGCGUGUAGGCUGGUUUUCCAGGCAAAUCCGGAAAACUAAGGCUGAGGCGUGAUGACGAGGCACUACGGUGCUGAAGCAACAAAUGCCCUGCUUCCAGGAAAAGCCUCUAAGCAUCAGGUAACAUCAAAUCGUACCCCAAACCGACACAGGUGGUCAGGUAGAGAAUACCAAGGCGCUUGAGAGAACUCGGGUGAAGGAACUAGGCAAAAUGGUGCCGUAACUUCGGGAGAAGGCACGCUGAUAUGUAGGUGAAGUCCCUCGCGGAUGGAGCUGAAAUCAGUCGAAGAUACCAGCUGGCUGCAACUGUUUAUUAAAAACACAGCACUGUGCAAACACGAAAGUGGACGUAUACGGUGUGACGCCUGCCCGGUGCCGGAAGGUUAAUUGAUGGGGUCAGCGCAAGCGAAGCUCUUGAUCGAAGCCCCGGUAAACGGCGGCCGUAACUAUAACGGUCCUAAGGUAGCGAAAUUCCUUGUCGGGUAAGUUCCGACCUGCACGAAUGGCGUAAUGAUGGCCAGGCUGUCUCCACCCGAGACUCAGUGAAAUUGAACUCGCUGUGAAGAUGCAGUGUACCCGCGGCAAGACGGAAAGACCCCGUGAACCUUUACUAUAGCUUGACACUGAACAUUGAGCCUUGAUGUGUAGGAUAGGUGGGAGGCUUGGAAGUGUGGACGCCAGUCUGCAUGGAGCCGACCUUGAAAUACCACCCUUUAAUGUUUGAUGUUCUAACGUUGACCCGUAAUCCGGGUUGCGGACAGUGUCUGGUGGGUAGUUUGACUGGGGCGGUCUCCUCCUAAAGAGUAACGGAGGAGCACGAAGGUUGGCUAAUCCUGGUCGGACAUCAGGAGGUUAGUGCAAUGGCAUAAGCCAGCUUGACUGCGAGCGUGACGGCGCGAGCAGGUGCGAAAGCAGGUCAUAGUGAUCCGGUGGUUCUGAAUGGAAGGGCCAUCGCUCAACGGAUAAAAGGUACUCCGGGGAUAACAGGCUGAUACCGCCCAAGAGUUCAUAUCGACGGCGGUGUUUGGCACCUCGAUGUCGGCUCAUCACAUCCUGGGGCUGAAGUAGGUCCCAAGGGUAUGGCUGUUCGCCAUUUAAAGUGGUACGCGAGCUGGGUUUAGAACGUCGUGAGACAGUUCGGUCCCUAUCUGCCGUGGGCGCUGGAGAACUGAGGGGGGCUGCUCCUAGUACGAGAGGACCGGAGUGGACGCAUCACUGGUGUUCGGGUUGUCAUGCCAAUGGCACUGCCCGGUAGCUAAAUGCGGAAGAGAUAAGUGCUGAAAGCAUCUAAGCACGAAACUUGCCCCGAGAUGAGUUCUCCCUGACUCCUUGAGAGUCCUGAAGGAACGUUGAAGACGACGACGUUGAUAGGCCGGGUGUGUAAGCGCAGCGAUGCGUUGAGCUAACCGGUACUAAUGAACCGUGAGGCUUAACCUUACAACGCCGAAGGUGUUU
rnacentral:rRNA from 1 species